CCUACGGGAGGCAGCAGUGGGGGAUAUUGCACAAUGGGGGAAACCCUGAUGCAGCGACGCCGCGUGUGGGAAAACGGUCUUCUGGAUUGUAAACCACUGUCCCCAGGGACGAAAAUGACGGUACCUGGGGAGGAAGCUCCGGCUAACUACGUGCCAGCAGCCGCGGUAAUACGUAGGGAGCAAGCGUUGUCCGGAAUUACUGGGUGUAAAGGGAGCGUAGGCGGGGAUGCAAGUUGGGUGUCAAAACUACCGGCUCAACCGAUAGUCGCACUCAAAACUGCAGCUCUUGAGUGAAGUAGAGGCAGGCGGAAUGCCUAGUGUAGCGGUGAAAUGCGUAGAUAUUAGGAGGAACACCAGUGGCGAAGGCGGCCUGCUGGGCUUUUACUGACGCUGAGGCGCGAAAGUGUGGGGAGCAAACAGGAUUAGAUACCCUUGUAGUC
rnacentral:rRNA from 1 species